GACGAACGCUGGCGGCGUGCCUAAUACAUGCAAGUAGAACGCUGAAGGAGGAGCUUGCUUCUCUGGAUGAGUUGCGAACGGGUGAGUAACGCGUAGGUAACCUGCCUGGUAGCGGGGGAUAACUAUUGGAAACGAUAGCUAAUACCGCAUAAUAGUAGAUGUUGCAUGACAUUUGCUUAAAAGGUGCAAUUGCAUCACUACCAGAUGGACCUGCGUUGUAUUAGCUAGUUGGUGAGGUAACGGCCCACCAAGGCAACGAUACAUAGCCGACCUGAGAGGGUGAUCGGCCACACUGGGACUGAGACACGGCCCAGACUCCUACGGGAGGCAGCAGUAGGGAAUCUUCGGCAAUGGACGGAAGUCUGACCGAGCAACGCCGCGUGAGUGAAGAAGGUUUUCGGAUCGUAAAGCUCUGUUGUAAGAGAAGAACGAGUGUGAGAGUGGAAAGUUCACACUGUGACGGUAUCUUACCAGAAAGGGACGGCUAACUACGUG
rnacentral:rRNA from 1 species